AGAAAUUGGGGAUGUUACAGUUU
rnacentral:snRNA from 1 species